UAGGACUGAAAUGCAACUAGGCUGUCAUAAGCUCAAGAUGCACUUAAAGCCACCUUUAAAAUGAUCCUAGCAUCUCUGAUUAAUUUAACUCCACGAAAGCUAGGGCACAAACUGGGAUUAGAUACCCCAUUAUGCCUAGCCCUAAAUCUCGAUGUUUACUGUACCAAAACAUCCGCCUGAGAACUACGAGCACAAACGCUUAAAACUCUAAGGACUUGGCGGUGCCCCAAACCCACCUAGAGGAGCCUGUUCUGUAAUCGAUAACCCACGAUCCACCCGACCACCCCUCGCCAAAGCAGCCUACAUACCGCCGUCGCCAGCCCACCUCCACCUGAGAGCCCCACAGUGAGCAUAAUAGCUCAAACCCGCUAAUAAGACAGGUCAAGGUAUAGCCUAUGGGGUGGAAGAAAUGGGCUACAUUUUCUACAAUAGAAAAUCCACGGAAGAGGGUAUGAAACACAGCCCUCGGAAGGCGGAUUUAGCAGUAAAGCGGGACAAUAGAGCCCUCUUUAAGCUGGCCCUGAGGCACGUACAUACCGCCCGUCACCCUCC
rnacentral:rRNA from 1 species